AUUGAACGCUGGCGGCAGGCUUAACACAUGCAAGUCGAACGAGUGGCGGACGGGUGAGUAAUGCUUGGGAAUCUAGCUUAUGGAGGGGGAUAACUACGGGAACCUGUAGCUAAUACCGCGUACAAUAGGAUGGGCCCCAGUGGGAUUGGGUAGUUGGUGAGGUAAAGGCUAACCAAGCAGACGAACUCUAGCUGGUCUGAUAGGAGGACAAGCCACACUGGGACUGAGACACGGCCCAGACUCCUACUGGAGGCAGCAGUGGGGAAUAUUGCGCAAUUGGGGCAACCUGACGCAGCCAUGCCGCGUGAAUGAAGAAGGCCUUCGGGUUGUAAAGUUCUUUCGGUAGCGAGGCGUUAACUACAGAAGAUGCACCGGCUAACUCCGUGCCAGCAGCCGCGGUAAUUC
rnacentral:rRNA from 1 species